AGAGUUUGAUCAUGGCUCAGGAUUAACGCUAGCGGCAGGCCUAAUACAUGCAAGUCGAGGGGCAGCAGGGUGUAGCAAUACAUCGCUGGCGACCGGCGCACGGGUGCGUAACACGUAUGCAACCUACCUUUAACUGGGGAAUAGCCCUCCGAAAGGAGGAUUAACACCGCAUAACAUCACGAGACGGCAUCGCCUUGUGAUCAAACCUCCGGGGGUUAAAGAUGGGCAUGCGUCCGAUUAGCUAGUUGGCGGGGUAACGGCCCACCAAGGCGACGAUCGGUAGGGGGUCUGAGAGGAUGAUCCCCCACACUGGUACUGAGGCACGGACCAGACUCCUACGGGAGGCAGCAGUAAGGAAUAUUGGACAAUGGUCGCAAGACUGAUCCAGCCAUGCCGCGUGCAGGAUGAACGAUCUAUGAUCUGUAAACUGCUUUUGUUCGGGAAUAAACCCCUUCACGUGUGGAGGGCUGAAUGUACCGAAAGAAUAAGGGUCGGCUAACUUCGUGCCAGCAGCCGCGGUAAGACGAAGGACCCAAGCGUUAUCCGGAUUUAUUGGGUUUAAAGGGUGCGUAGGCGGGUUGUUAAGUCAGUGGUGAAAGCCUAGAGCUUAACUCUAGAAUUGCCAUUGAUACUGACGAUCUUGAGGAUAGUUGAGGUGGGCGGAAUGUAUCAUGUAGCGGUGAAAUGCUUAGAGAUGAUACAGAACACCGAUUGCGAAGGCAGCUCACUAAGCUAUUUCUGACGCUGAGGCACGAAAGCGUGGGGAUCAAACAGGAUUAGAUACCCUGGUAGU
rnacentral:rRNA from 1 species